AGUCGAACGCUUCUUUUUCCACCGGAGCUUGCUCCGCCGGAAAAAGAGGAGUGGCGAACGGGUGAGUAACACGUGGGUAACCUGCCCAUCAGAAGGGGAUAACACUUGGAAACAGGUGCUAAUACCGUAUAACAAUCAAAACCGCAUGGUUUUGAUUUGAAAGGCGCUUUCGGGUGUCGCUGAUGGAUGGACCCGCGGUGCAUUAGCUAGUUGGUGAGGUAACGGCUCACCAAGGCCACGAUGCAUAGCCGACCUGAGAGGGUGAUCGGCCACAUUGGGACUGAGACACGGCCCAAACUCCUACGGGAGGCAGCAGUAGGGAAUCUUCGGCAAUGGACGAAAGUCUGACCGAGCAACGCCGCGUGAGUGAAGAAGGUUUUCGGAUCGUAAAACUCUGUUGUUAGAGAAGAACAAGGAUGAGAGUAACUGUUCAUCCCUUGACGGUAUCUAACCAGAAAGCCACGGCUAACUACGUGCCAGCAGCCGCGGUAAUACGUAGGUGGCAAGCGUUGUCCGGAUUUAUUGGGCGUAAAGCGAGCGCAGGCGGUUUCUUAAGUCUGAUGUGAAAGCCCCCGGCUCAACCGGGGAGGGUCAUUGGAAACUGGGAGACUUGAGUGCAGAAGAGGAGAGUGGAAUUCCAUGUGUAGCGGUGAAAUGCGUAGAUAUAUGGAGGAACACCAGUGGCGAA
rnacentral:rRNA from 1 species